GGGUCUGGUUUGGCGGUCUGCCGAAAGGUGUGUAUCGCCGGCCACCGGCCCAACUUUAUUUCCAAUGACUGUACGUGCUCUUCACUGAGUUGCGUACGGGACUUGGGACUUUUACUUUGAAAAAAUUAGAGUGUUCAAAGCAGGCAUUUCGCUUGAAUACAUUAGCAUGGAAUAAUGGAAUAGGACUUUGACCUAUUUGUUGGUUUCUCGAGGUCAAAGUA
rnacentral:rRNA from 1 species